rnacentral:rRNA from 1 species
GAUAAACGCUGGCGGCGUGCUUAACACAUGCAGGUCGAACGAAGUUUUUCCUUCGGGAGAAACUUAGUGGCGGACGGGGGCGUAACGCGUGGGUAACCUGCACUGUACAGGGGGACAACAGCUGUAAACGGCUGCUAAUACCGCAUAAGCCCUUAGCACUGCAUGGUGCAUAGGGAAAAGGAGCAAUCCGGUACGGGAUGGACCCGCGUCUGAUUAGCCAGUUGGCAGGGUAACGGCCUACCAAAGCGACGAUCAGUAGCCGAGCUGAGAGGAUGUACGGCCACACUUGCACUGAGACACGGCCCAGACUCCUACGGGAUGCAGCAGUGGGGAAUAGUGCACAAUGGAGGAAACUCUGAUGCAGCGACGCCGCGUGAGUGAAGAUGUAUUUCGGGAUGUAAAGCGCUAGCAGCAGGGAAGAACAUGACGGUACCUGACUAAGAAGCACCGGCUAACUACGUG